rnacentral:rRNA from 1 species
UCAGAACGAACGCUGGCGGCGCGUCUUAAGCAUGCAAGUCGGACGGCAAGGGGAGCUUGCUCCCCCCUAGAGUGGCGGACUGGUGAGUAACGCGUGGGUGACCUACCCUUGAGAUGGGGAUAGCCAUUAGAAAUAGUGGAUAAUACCGAAUACGCUCUUUUUGCUGUGGCGAGAAGAGGAAACAGGCUACGGCCUGGCUCGAGGAUGGGCCCGCGUCCCAUUAGCUAGUUGGUGAGGUAACGGCCCACCAAGGCGACGAUGGGUAUCCGGCCUGAGAGGGUGUACGGACACAUUGGGACUGAGAUACGGCCCAAACUCCUACGGGAGGCAGCAGCUAAGAAUAUUCCGCAAUGGACGAAAGUCUGACGGAGCGACGCCGCGUGGAUGAAGAAGGCCCGAAAGGUUGUAAAAUCCUUUUGCUGAUGAAGAAUAAGUGGUGUAGGGAAUGACAUCAUGAUGACAUUAGUCGGUGAAUAAGCCCCGGCUAACUACGUGCCAGCAGCUGC